rnacentral:tRNA from 1 species
UGGCCAAGUGGUUAAGGCAAUGGACUAGAAAUCAAUAGGGGUCUCCCUUCACAGGUGCAAAUCCUGU